GACGAACGCUGGCGGCGUGCUUAACACAUGCAAGUCGAGCGGUAAGGCCCUUUCGGGGGUACACGAGCGGCGAACGGGUGAGUAACACGUGAGCAACCUGCCCUUCUCUUUGGAAUAAGCGUUGGAAACGACGUCUAAUGCCGAAUAUGACCCCCUGUCGCAUGGUGGGGGGUGGAAAGCUCUGGCGGAGAAGGAUGGGCUCGCGGCCGAUCAGCUUGUUGGUGUGGGUAAUGGCCCACCAAGGCGACGACGGGUAGCCGGCCUGAGAGGGUGACCGGCCACACUGGGACUGAGACACGGCCCAGACUCCUACGGGAGGCAGCAGUGGGGAAUAUUGGACAAUGGGCGAAAGCCUGAUCCAGCAACGCCGCGUGAGGGAUGACGGCCUUCGGGUUGUAAACCUCUUUCAGCAGGGACGAAGCGAGAGUGACGGUACCUGCAGAAGAAGGACCGGCCAACUACGUGCCAGCCGCCGCCGUAA
rnacentral:rRNA from 1 species